rnacentral:lncRNA from 1 species
UUUUUUUUUUUUUUCAAUUUUCUUUUUUUCCUUUACUUCCCCCUCUCCUUCUCUCUCACUUCCUCACUCUCUCACUUUUUAGUGUGGGCAAUUUGUUUUCCAAUUAUGUUGCAAAUACACAUUUAUUAACUGUGUUCAUUCUUUCAUCCACCUGUGGUCAAAUCAAACUCUAGCGUUUAUCUGCAAUAUGUUUACCUUUUGUUUUCCUACUAUAUGAAUUAUCAUCUGUGGCCCUUUGGAUUGUACCUCAAAGACUACAAACAGCUGAUUGUAUUCUCCUACUUAGCAGAUAUCUAUAUGAAAUCUACCAGACAGAACAAACCAUAUUUUGUAAGCCAAAUUAUCACAUUGGGAGUUCUUUUAUUUUUUUUCUUUUUCAGGGCUGGACAUACAGCCUAUGGAAGUUCCCAUGCUAGGGAUCGAAUUGGAGCUGCAGCUGCAGGCCUACGCCAUAGCAACACCAGAUCCGAGCCACUAAUAUAUUAUUUGUUUUGAAAUUUCAACUUCAAUUUAACAAUUCGAGAUACAAAUUAUGAUAAAGUUUUAUAUGGCUUAAGUAUUCUCCAUGUUCCAUUAUUAGCUACUUUAUCCUUUAGUCCAAUGGCAUCAAUAAUUGGUUGCUGUGGUAUAAAUAUGUUCAGAAGAAUUCAAAUUUACUUUAUAUUAUUCCCAAAGUACUUCAGUAUUUUCGUUUUUACUAACAUGGAUCUUCUUUUCUAUUACUUGCUUUUUUAAUUAAGGUUUUGGCAUGGAUUUUCAUUUUCUGUCAACCUGGUAAACUUUGGCAUGUAUUUAUCUUAAGCUGUCAUGACCUCCUAGGCUUAGGGGUAAUACCUAGUCACCAUCUUUGAUUCCUCUUUUCUCUCACUUUCCUCCUUAACCCACCAAAAUGAAUCAUUCGCUUAAAUUUCAAAGUACACCCCCACAUCUCACAGCUACCUCUACUACUUCUCCCCCAAUCCUAUUCACUAUUUUGUCAUCUGCAUCACUACAGUAGUUUCUCUGUUUCCAUUCUUACUCUCAUGUAUCUAUUCUCAAUCCAGCAGCCAGAAAAUUCUUAAUAAAACUUCACUCCUGAAACCUUCCAAUUGAUUCUCACAACACUUAGAAUAAAACGGAAACUGUUUACGAGGAACAGAAGUCCCUCCCUAACAUAGCUCUUAAUUGCCACUCUGCCCUCAUCUCCCACAAUAAUACUCUUCACACUGUGCUACAACCAGCCUUCUAGCUUUUCCACAAACCUGCCAAGUUCCUCCUGCUUCAGAGUCUUUACAUAUUGUUUUCUCCAUCUACAACACCCAUCCCCAGAUCCUCAUAUGGCCUAUUUCCUUGCAUUGUUCAGACCACCCGACCACACAUAAGAGGUCCCAUCCCCACCCCCUUAUCUUGUUUUAUUUCUCUUGGAGUCUUUGUUAUUUCCAAAAAUAUACUGAGCUUACUUACCUACCCCCUUUUAACUUUCUUUUAGAAUGUAAGAUGUUUUAGACUAAGGAUUUUUUUCUAUUUCUCUCUGUGUCCCUUGCACCCAAAAGAACACCUGAUAUAUGGCAUACAAUGAAUGUGUGCUAAGAAAAUAGGCAUAAAUGCCAUCCAAGAUAGAUGAUAUUGUACUCAUUUUAUAGCCAAGGCUCAGAGAGGAAUCUGCUUGGUAUUAGUUGCUAGUUAGUGACAGAGUCAAGGAUUAGAGCCUGAACUUGGACUGAAAAGACAGUUGUAACUCUGAGUGGUGUAUUCCCUUCCUGACACUUCACAAACAUUCUUGCAGGCUUUUAUAAUUAUGAGUUUACUUCAAUUAGUAGUAUUAAAAAGGAAAGGACUUAAUCCUAAUCCUAUGGCAGCCCAUCAGAUAGCAUGCAUAAUCAACACAGCCUUCUUUCUUAGUUUCAAUAUUGUACUGAACAUUUUUCAUGUUCUCGUUAUUAAAGAAUAACAGAAUAUGUUUCAGACUUGAUUAACUCAUCAAUCUUCAUGAAACUUGGCAAGGUUAGUACAAUUAAUUAUCCUUGUUUUACAUUCAAAGAACUGAGACCUGCAGAGAUUAUUAGGUAUGUUCAAGGACAUAUUUGGUAAAUUUGGGGCAAGAACCCACUGAUAUCUGCUUGUCUUUCCUUCUAGCAGUUCCCACAUCUUUGUUAGAGAAGCUUUCAGUCCAUAUCAUAGCAUCCAAUUUCAACUAGAGCAAUUGUUUCAUUUCUAAAGAAAUAGUUUACAUCUUUAUUAAAAAUCAAAAUGUUAGCUUACUUCAUACCAUCUAUUCAUUUGAUUAGUACCCUAAAGAGGUAUGGAGUAGAAGCUGCUAUCUUCUAAAUUCUCUUCCAUUUCUAUGCUUUCAGAUUUACGCUGAGUAAUGAACAUAGUCAAAUACGUUUUUCUUUUUCCUCCUUAAUAUAAUUUCAGUAAAAUCACAGAAAAAUAUUGAUGUGAAUUGUUAUAAAAACUCAUUGAUAUUAGUGAGGGUGACAGUAUGGAGUUUGUAAUUACAUGGUCCUAGGUAAAUAUCCCACCUUUAUCAAGUUGUACUUUUGUAUCUAUGGGUUAGUAUGUUAUAUUUCCCAAUCUCAGUUUUUGUAUAUGGUAAAUGUGGGCAAUAAUAGCACCUAUCAAAGAAUUCUUUUGAGUAUUAAUGGCAUAGUGCAUUUUUUUUUUUUUGUCAUUUUGAGGGUCGCAUCUGUGGCAUAUGGAGGUUCCCAGGCUAGGGGUCUAAUCAGAGCUGUAGCUGCCGGCCUACACCACAGUCACAGCAACACCAGAUCUGAGCCGCAUCUGCAACCUACACUACAGCUCAUGGCAACACCAGAUCCUUAACCCCCUGAGUGAGGUCAGGAAUCGAACCCGCAACCUCAUGGUUCCUAGCAGCCUUUGUUUCUACUGCACCACAACAGGAACUCCAGGCAUAGUGUAUUUUUAAGUCCUAACACUUAGUGAGCUCUCAAAUAAUAAAUGAUACUUACUAUUACAUUUUGACUACAUCACUAUUAAUGUUAUUAUGAAAAAGAGCUGUAAUUGACAUAGAUGCAAUAGAAAUUUUAGAAUGUUUUAGGUAUUUCACCAGGCUCAGCUUAACUUCUUUAACAUUCAAGGUUAGAUAUCCUUAUUCUUAAAACUCUAAAUAUGUAUUUCAACUUUAAUGAAACAAUCAUUGAGAUAAAUAAAAUUAAGCAGGACAAAAUCAAGAGUAUCUUCUUUCUAUUACUAUCUUAAGAUUUUUGGGAGACUCUGAGGCUGUCAGAUUCUCAUUAAGUCUGAUGAGCUAUAGAUCUCAAGAUCUAUUAAAACAUACAGAAAACCAGGAAGGAGAUUUGGUGGCACUGAUAAAUUGAGGUGGGAUUAGCGACAACUGCUCACGUCAAAAAUAGAUUUCUAGGUACCAUUAGAACCUAGUGUCAAUUCUGUCGGUUAAUAUUAUUAUCACAAUAUUAUCUUUCCGCUGUAGUAUAUAGACAUUUUAUGUCUAAUCAAUGAGCAUUCUGUAACUGGAUAACUGUAAGCAUUAUUUUAUUGGAUGAUAUUUCAGGGGGGAAGAAAGGAAAACAAUAUUGCUUUUUUUAAAACAAAUGUCUCCACCUCACUGCCCUUAACUGAUGCCAAAGGUUAGAUUAACUAGUUACCAAAAACUUCAGUAAAAAUUACACAGCCUAUAAUUUGCAUAAAGAAUAUUGAUGAAAUGUCUUGAAUUAAUUUACUUUUGCACCUCUGGAAUACUCAUCAUUGAUCUCCUCCAUCAGAAUGAUGACCUUAAACAACUAAAAUAUGACCCAACGAAGAAUAAAGUUUGAAAAUACUGGCUCUUGUCUCACAUAUUCACCAUCAAAAAUAAACAUUCUAAAAUGUACUAAAGGUAAAUGAUAGAUCUCACACAUACUAAACAAUAGGAUAGUCAUAUAUUUACCAAAUGAAAAAGUGUGAGUUCCAUAAUUGGCUUAAUUUUAUGUAAUCAUUUCACUAUACAGUUUUUCAAAGGAACACAAUAGGAAAUGAUGAUUUGGGGAAAUUAAUGUACAGAAAUUUUGUGAAUGGUCUUUGAAAACUCUUCACUUUUUAUGGAGCAAAUAUGUCAGUCAGAUACAUAAACAGGAGCAGUCAAAUGCUAACUUUUAAUAAAUUAAAUAUUAAUUUAAUAAAUUACUAAUGGUUUUUAAUAAUUUUUUCUAACCCGUGUAUUUGCAUUCACUCCCAUACACAGCUGUAACAUAAUUCUUUGUAAGAAUGUUCAUUUUUAAUUUAUUUUAGAAUUACUCAGUCUCUAACUUUAUCAUGCUUUUCUAUCCACCCAUUUGUCUUUUUAUCUUCCCUUCUCUUUAUUUAUCUGCUAUUCUCUGUUAUUCACUCACUCUUUUAAUUCAAAGAUGUGUUUAGUCUUUGUAUUUAUUGAAUAGUUUUGUAGUUUCCUUUCUGUAGAGAUAUCCUCCCCUUUUUAUACAUAUGCCAAUAUUCAGUUUAAAGAAGAAAAUAGAUUAUGGUAAUUUUCAUUAAAGUAAAAGCAAACCUAAAGUUGACAAAUGAUUGUCGUCCAAGUAAAUAAGCAUAAUUUUAAGUACACAACACUACCACAAAAUUACUUAUAUAUGUACUUAUAUUUUUUGUUACUUACAAGUUGAAAUUUUAAUUAUGUACUUACUUUAAUUGAAUAUUAGUUUUUGACAAUUAAUGACCUUUUAUCAAGUAGUACAUUUUUUAAAAUCAAGUAAACAUAAUUUCUUUAUAAAUCCUCAGUGAUCACUCUAUCAUGUAAAGCACUAAAUUUAAGCUAACUCAGAACAUUACCACUCAGACUAGUCUUUGUGAAUUUCAAAAUCUUAAACCCUGAAAAAUUCAAGGCACUGCCAUAAACAUAGGCUGGGAAAAAUGAAAGAAGCCCAAGUCAUCUAUCUCCCCAAAAAAGAUACUUCCUAGGUUUAGAGGAAGUAAGGGAAGCAGGCAGGGGCAAGGGGAGGUAGAUGAGAGACAGAGCUUGGUU